ACAAGAAUAUUUAUAACUAUAAGACCAGAUACAAUAACAAUCACAUGGAAGUAUUUAAUAUUUCACAUGGAAGUCUUAUAUAUCCUUCUCGUUAUCACACACAAGCCACAUAUUGAUAGUUAUUAUUAUUUUGAUAUCACAAGCUCGUGUAAUUGACUAAAUUUUGCUUAAAAAUGACUCAGACGAAGCUCUUGGAGGCUAAUAUUUAUAUAACCGAUUAUUACGUGCUUUCAUUAGUAAGGAGGAGGAGAUCAGUGGGACCUAUUUGAAGAAUUUAACUGAUUUUUCGAGCCACUUCAAGUGAAUGAUAGUAUGUGAUCAACCAAUCUCUGGAGGGAUUGAUAAGAAGAACCUCCUUUCUUCAAACAAACAUCCACUUUCUCCUUCAACUGCAAAAUCCUCUCUCUCAUUUCGUGUCCUUCUGUAGCUUCUACCAUUACUCUUCUGAUUGCUCUUUCAAUCUCUUUUCUCUGUAGCUUCCCCUCUAAGUGCAGCCCAAUUCUCCAAACAUGACUAACAUAUCUUGCAUUCACCAUUUGGUCACUAAGAAAAGGCUGACAAAUCAUGGGGACUCCUUCACAUAUACUCUCCAAUGUUGAAUUCCAGCCACUGUGUGUCCAAAACCCUCCAACAGCAGGAUGAGCUAGAACUUCUUGUUGAGGAGCCCAUUUCACUAUGUAUCCCCUUCUAUCUACUUUUUUCAGGAACCCUUUUGGCAAUGGUUCAAGCCAUUCUGCUCCGCGGACUAGUCCUGGUCGAAUCACCCAGAGAAAGGGAACCAUACUAUUGGCUAGUCCCCAAGCUAUCUCCAAAAAUUCUGUCUCGCUAAUAUCAGCAACACUACCAAAGCUUACGUAUAUUACAGAUUUAGGUGCUUGUUUUUCUAACCAAGAAAUGGAGCUUUGAUCUUGUGACCAUAAGCUACUUGAAGAGGCCGGAAAGUACUUGUGAAAUGGGCCUACUGGGAACUCCGAUAUGGAAUUAUAGUACUGUUCGUGUGUUGUGGUCAGUUGAACUUUUUCAAGGUCUUGAAAGGAGUUCCAUAUCAUUCCGGAGGAGGCCUGUAAUUGACUGUCGAUGGCCGAUAACAGUUUAUGAAGAUUUUCUGGAUCUUUUGAUUUAAAUCUUGGAAUGUCUUUGACUCUUAACGGUGGAAGCUCGAUCACCGGUGCUUCUAAUUGGGAAUCUAAUAAGAGGAGAAAGCAAAUGAAAAAUUGUGAUAGUAUGUAGAUUUUUUAAAAUAAAAUAACGAGAACAAAAUUUAGGGAGUACUUCUUGAGUCAUACUCAGAUUUAGACAUCCAUAUGAAUUUUUGUGCGAACACAAUUACAUCGAUGGUAAAUUAAAAAUCGCGUACGUGCACAAAAAUUUAUGUAGACAUCCAGACCAGAGCAUUUUUAAUUUCUUGUAACUCGAAAGCAUUAUCACCAUCGCACCUUGUAUAGGAAGGUAACCCUUUUCCCGUACAAUUGGAUAGGCAGAAAAAGCAAGAUGGGCUGAGACACUAGUGGACUGUAAGACUAACGUGCGAAGCUUAAGGUCAUUAGCAACAGCACGUGCGAAAUGCCAGAUCGAAUCUGUGAUUAAGCAAGCAAAAGAAUCAUCCUCCUGUGUGUUUGACAUCAACAACUUAGCCAAGCAAUCCCGAAAUGGCACGAUGCACUUGGCAUUGAGGGCCGCAAGAAAAGCUGGGAGAUCCUCUGUGGGUGCUUCAAUUUCCGAUACGCCAUUUGAGAAUGAAUGGAAAUCAAAAUGAGGGUACUUACGAGAGUUUGGAGAGUUGAACUCGGUGUGGACAAUGGUGAUUGAAAAUCCUUUGCUAUAGAGGAUGUUUGCAAGCUGAAGCAUAGGGUUUAUGUGGCCUUGGAAUGGCAGAGGGAAAAGUAUCACUCGCCUUCCAUUCCUUGGUAGCAUAUUGCAAGAUUCUUGCUGGGUCUCCAUGCGUAGUUCGAAUGGUCUCUUGUUGCUUUGUUAAUCUCAGUUCUCACUUUAUAGAUAUAUAUUGGCAAUUUCCAUGCUCUUGUAAUUAACAUAUAUCAUUUAUUCUCCUACCGUUUAUAUAGAAGCCGAUAACCCUCUGGCAGUAAUAAUUUAUAAUAUUAUCUUUAUUUUCAUAUGUACUUUUAUUUAUAUUUAUUAUAGAUUAAAUAAAUCACAUGAAUGAAAAUUAAAAUAUAAAAAUAAGUAUUAAAAACAAGAAAUAUAUAUUGAUAUGAAAAAAAUUAAUAAUAAAAUAUUGUCUUAAAUUUUUUAUUUCGUAAACAUUUUUUUAUAAUAAACAUUUUAUAAUAUUUUAAAACUAAAUGUAAAAAGUACAAGAAAAAUAUUUUAUUUAUAAAAAAUUUUUGUUUGUCAUCAAGUCUUCUUAUAAUAAUGUUGUCAUUUUAUAAUAAUUUUCCAUAUAUUUAUUAUAAGAAAAUGCUUAUAAAAUUAAAAAAGUACAAGAAAAAUAUUUUAUUAUUAAUUUUUUCACAUCAAAACAUAUAUUUCUUAUUUUGAAUACUUUAUUAUUUUAUUUUAUUUUUCAUGCAAGUGAUUUAUUUAAUCUAUAAUAAAUAUAAAUAAAAGUUUAUUUGAAAAUAAAGACAAUAUUGUAAACUUAUGAUAUCAGGAGGUUAUUGGCUAUUAUAAAAACAGUAAGGGAGUAAAUGGUAUAUAGUGAUUAUAGUAGGGGGGAGAAAUCGGCAAUCUCCCUAUAUAUAUACAUAUUUGUUUCCUUUUUCACGCAUCAUGUGGAAAAUGAGAUUAUAUAUUAUUUAUAAUUCGCUCACCUAAGUAAGAAAAUGGACAAAUUAAAAGUCAAAUAAUCAUCACAGCAAAAAUAAUUAAUCCUUCUAUAUAUUUUAUUAACGGCUUAUAUAGAAUUUUUCAUGUCUAUUCGUUUUCAUGAUGUCUUUGGCUUCUACAGUCUACUAGCAAAUGUUCAACAGUUCAAGUGGUUGUCUUCAAGUAGCAAUCUUCUAGUAGCCCUCCUCGGCUCUUCUGGCUAUUAACGGUCCUCAAGUAGCAAUCUUCUAACAACCCCGUUUAUAUCUAAAAACAUAUAUAUAUAGUUGGAGAGUCUUUCUCUAGUGUGAAUAUCUGGAUAAUUACAUAAUUUUUUAUAACAUCAUAAAACGAUGGUGUCUGUACGUUAAAAAUGCAAAGAUCUGUAAUUAAGUAUAAUUAUAUAGUUAAGUGUUCGUGAUAUUUGCAUCAAUUUGGGGCUCCACGAAAUUAAUUUACUUAUUUUACUGAAGUGAAUAAAUAUAAGGUCAAUUAAUGCAAAUUCAAGAGACAUUUUGCUCUGAAUAAAGCAUAUAAAUCAAUAAAUGGAGGCCUUGAAUUUUAAUCUAAGCUGAUGAAUGCAAGUUGAAUUUUAAUCUAAGCUGAUGAAUGCAAGAAAACAAGCGUUUCAGCAACAUCUGUAGCAAUCCGUAAACGCAUUUCCUAUGUAAAUGAAAGCUCUUUAGAUGGAUCAUGAAGAUAUUGAAAGAAGGUUCCAUUGGGAAUGAACUCUUAUACAAGUAAAGGAACCUCAACCUCUAAGCAACAUCCCAAAAGCUUAACCACAUGUUUAUGGCUAAUUUGCCAAAGAAUUACAACCUCGUUAAUGAACUCUUCAAGCUUCGAUGAUCAUCAACUACUCUGGAUUUCUUCACUGCAAUGAUUCUUCCAUCUGUCAACAUUCUUUUGUAAACAGUACCUUGACCUCCCCGGCCAGGAAUUCUAUUGACAUUGAAAUGAUCAGUGGCCUUGUCUAAUUCUUGGAAUUAAAUGUCCUGCACUUGUUAAUGCUUUUGCCAAGUGAAUUCAAUUGUUGUUCUAAAAGCAGACCACCAUUCUUUUUUAAAUUUUUCUCUUUUUGCUUGAUUCUUUUUCUUAUUAUGAUGCACAGCCAUAAUGUUCCAAUAGCAAGAAACAAACCUCUAAUGCUUGUGCCAAUGCCUGCAAUAUCAUUCUCUAUCUUGAGCCCGAUCAAAACCAUUUUAUUAUUGUCACUGAUACUUUCAUGCAAGAAAUAAGAAGAAAAAAAAUUAAAUUAUAAUAAAAAAUAUUAGUUUUAAGCCAUUAAACACCUGUCUUGCAUUUAUAAAUACAGUCGAAGAGAAUAGCCAUACAGGUUUAUAAGGUUCCUUCUUUUUGCUUCACUUUUAUUUGUUCUUACAUAAAAUUUAUACACUUAAUUAUCUCGCAAAAUUCCUUGAUAUUGACUUGAAUGUCAGAGGGUUAAUAUCAGAAAAACUUUUAGUGUCCCAUACCGUUUUUCUUAUUGCAGAUGCUCACCUGGACAGAAUCGUGCUGACCAUUUCCUGCUUGCUGGGUUAGAUUCCUAGUUGGCAACUUCUGCUUAGGUUGUUAAAUCAAGGUUAGAAAUCGUCUCUCCACACAAACAAAUUCAAACACUGGAGUUGGAAUCUGGUGAGUGCCCCACGCACUGACCCGAUCAGAUUUUGGCAUCAACAUUUUGGCGCUGUUUGGGGGGAGAUUACAAGAAGCCACUCUACCAAAUCAACACCUGUGAGGGAUUAAGAGGAAUAAGCGAGCACAAAGUGGGUGAAUUAAGGAUGAAUAUCAAUGAUGAUGAAAUGGAGAGAGAAAGAGAGACCUAUGGUUAAUGAAAAUGUCAUUUUACAGAAAACCGCCCAUGAGGUUAGAGAUAGGCAGUGAAUGAAAGAAUAGAAUGGAUGGAAAAACAAAUGGAUAACUUGGCUAUGCCAUUAUUGGAGCUAAGGGAAGGAAAAAAAAGGCUUAAUAAAAAGAAUCCUGCUAGGAAUAUGGACAUGCAUGGGUCAAACCAUAGAAGACAGGCAUCGGAAAGACUAAGAAAAAUUAUACUGAUGCUACCAGGAGUGGAUGAUCCCCUUUAGAAUAGCCCAAACCUCACGAUAGAGACACGAAGAGAGAAGAAUAUUAAGGGAAGAAUGUUGAGGCAACAUCUUGAUGGAGAAAAAUUAGUUUUUUAAUUUUUUAUAAAAACUUUUAGGAUCGCUCUCAUACAAUAUAUAAGAAUUUGUAAUUUAGAAAUCAUACCUUAGAAAUCCGAUUUGGUUUUUUUCGUUGAAGUGAUUUAGGCUCUCAGAUCACGAUCCGUCAUCGCCAUGCCUGUUAGAUCACGAUCCGUCACCACCACGCUUGUUAGAUCACGAACUGUCACCAAUAAUCUUCCAGGUUAUUACUCAUGUUUGAUCUGCACUUGACGUGUGGGCGCCUUUAUCACUACCAAAGCAACUAGCACGAGAAAUUUUUCUCUCAACAAAUAGAGAGAAAAAUCUUUUUCUCUAAUCGGUAUAAAGUGGCUGUACUCUUUAUUCAUUAGAGAUAAUAAGUUUUUUUAUAUCUCGCUUUAGUUUAAAAUCCUAGGCUCCAUUUUUUGUAUUAUCUAAUUCUAUUAAAUCAAGUUUGAUUUAAAUUAAAAAUAAUAAACCAAAAGUAACAUUACUUCUUUCUUGUCACAUGGACCCAUAUUGUAAAAUAACACAAGGCUCCUUAGACACAAAUACAUUACAUGGAGCGUCCCACUAAAUAAUGUAUUUGGAUUUUUAACCCAAAUGACUAGUUAUCUUGCUUAUUAAUCCAGUAGUGGAGCAAUCAAUUAAAUGAGCUAACCCGGGGAUCAUUUGAGAACAUACAGUAGUGGCUACAAUAAUUAGGCAUGUAAUUAAACUAGCCCAAUUAUUUAAUUCCAAAUCUACUCCACUAAAAGAUUGAAACUGACCUCCAUAAUUGUAUGCUCGAAUAAUAAUUCGUCUCAAGCCACAUUGAUUUCUUUACUGCACAAUCUUUUGUACCACAUCAUUAAUUAAAUCGAUAUCUCAACUGUCCAAUCAAUUUAAUUACAUCUUGUUCCUUGAUUCUUACUGGUUUUCUCUAAUGAUCAUUUUCAACAUACUAAAUAUGUUGACAUACUCUGGCCAGAGAAUUCUAUGAUUAAGUGCCGAAAACCUAUCAAGAGAUGUGUUGUACAAAUUCUAUAUUGUCAAUCUAUAACUCCAAUACUCAUAAUUGCUCUCACCAAGAUACCGGGUAAUCUUGACUACAACUAUGUGUCGUGCCCAUUGGUAACUCAAAUGGAAUAACAACUAUAAUUAUGAAAUCAUAAUUAGCUCAAAAUUAAGAUUACAGUAAAAUCAAUGCCCAUGAGAUUUAAUAAGUCUGACAGUCAUUUCAAGGUUAAUUAAAUCUCAUAUUUGAUCUAACUCAAUGUAGUCAAACUAUAUCAGUAAAUUCAUAUAUGAUUAAGACAAAUCAUUCAAUGAAUUAACUACAGUCUUAACUUAUUACAUGUGCUUUUUUACCAAUCAAUCUUUUUCCCUCUAGGUGACCGACCAUAACCUGUUUCUCAGGCUACUCAUAUUUCUCUCUAUGUUUCUUUUUCAGCCGUCCGUAAGAUGAAAUCUAAUGCUGACUUUGGUAAAUGACAAACGAGUGGGAUACGAAACUUAUGAUGCAAAGUAGUUUUGCCCCUUCAUCUUAUUGUAGCUGAAGACCAAAAUUCAAGAACUUUUGGAUGCUUUUGAUGUAUUGAACUAUUUUAAUUUUUUUGUCUUGUUGGGUGUGUAUUGAUUUUUUUAGAGUUUUUCUUUUAUAGAGAUUUUUUAAGAGUUGGAGAUGACUAUUUAGUCAAAAUCUAUUAAAAUAAAUGUUUGAAUAAUUAGAUCCAAUAAAUUUACAAUUUUUUUUUGUUUACAUGUAAACACAUUAAGGAAAUUAAUUAGGAAACUAAAUAAGAAUUUCAUUGUUAAUCGCACGUGUCAUGUGGACUGGCAUAUAUACGACAUGAUUAUCAUCAUAACUUGAUGAGAUGAGAAUGGGCAACAAUCGGACAACCCAUGAAAGGUUGAUGUCAUAGGUCAUUUGCACCUAAAAGGGCAUUUAUGGAAUUUGAAAAUCAAAAUUCGAACAAUUCAGUGUGUAACUCAACGAGCCUGGAGCACGUACGUCGUGUCGUCCUCACAUCGAUUGAUUAGACCUCACGUCGUUAACACACCACAUAAAGAACUGGAAGACACGUGUCCGGCACAGGGGGUCCACGAAUCAUUUCAUCUCGGUGACCGGGUAAGCUGGCGUGGCACAAUUUAUGCCACCGUUUUCGAAUGUGGGACCCAUUUUUAUUAUUUUUUGUGGACCUUCGAAUUAAAAAGUGAAAAAUCUUAUAAUAUUAUAGAAAUUUUAAAAUAUAUAUGUUGUACCAUAUCACUCAUAUAAUAAAUAAAUAAUUUCAUGAUAUAUGUGUAUUUAUUUUAUAAAUUAUUAUGUAAGUGGUAGUUGUAUUAAAUUUAAUUAUAUAUAUCAUACAUAUAUUAAUUAAUUGUAUACAUUUUAAAACUUCUCGGUCCAUGUGAUAAACUAGCAUUAAUUAAUUUCUUUUUCUUUUCUUUUUUCUUUUUAAUUUUGUAUUGCAUGAUGAUACAGUUAAUUGCAUCUCUCGACUGUUUAAUUUUUCUAUUUAAAUAGUAGUGCUCUAGAAAAAUAAAGUAUUUUACUAAAAAAACAAUAUUAAUGAUAGCGUACCAAUAAAAAAAUGAGAUAAAACUGAUUACUUUCAAUUAAUUAAGUAAAUAGGUAUCGGUUUUAUUUUAUUUUUAUUGAUUUCAACUUAUUUCAAUUAUGUCAAAUUUUAUAUUUAAAUAUCAUUCCACGAAUAUAAAACUGUUUUUUCGAUUUAAAAAACAUAUCAAAACAAUAAAGCUUUAAAAGGAAAUUAUUAUUAUUAUUAUUUUUUUUGGUCUGAACCACGAGGUGGUCCUGAGUGGGCCCCAACUAUGGGAGGCACCUUUAAGCCCGUACCACAACCCAGACUAAUCUCCGCUCGCACCGGAUCGGCCCAUAAGGGGUAAAGUACUGGCCAAAGUGGUGAUUCCAUACGAGAGCGGGGCUUGAACCCCUGACCUCUCUUAAGGAGUGAGAGUGCCGAACCACUCACACCAACCAACUUUGGUUAGGAAAUUAUUAUUUUGAUAUCAGAAGCUCGUGUAAUUGACUAAAUUUUGCUUAAAAAUGACUCAGACGAAGCUCUUGGAGGCUAAUAUUUAUAUAACCGAUUAUUACGUGCUUUCAUUAGUAAGGAGGAGGAGAUCAGUGGGACCUAUUUGAAGAAUUUAACUGAUUUUUCGAGCCACUUCAAGUGAAUGAUAGUAUGUGAUCAACCAAUCUCUGGAGGGAUUGAUAAGAAGAACCUCCUUUCUUCAAAC
rnacentral:lncRNA from 1 species